UCAGACACAGAGGACGCUGCUCCUGCUCCUGCUCCUGCCCCUGUCCCUGCCGCUGGCCCUUCCUGUGUACCUGUUCCUGAGGCUGGCCCUGCCCCAAGACCACAGAGCGGGACGAAGAGGAAGAGAGCCAGGGUACCGGAGGGAAACACAAAUAUACAGACAGCCAUCCUCCAGGCCCUGCAGAGGCAAAAUGCUGUGCCUACCCCUACCCCGCUCUCUGGGAAUGAGCACUUUGUCAUGGGCCUAGUUCCUUCCCUGGAUAGAAUGCCACCUGAAGUACUGGAGUACGUUAAAUUCCAAAUUCGUAAGGUCAUAUUUGACAAUUCUAAUUUCACCCUUAAUUUGGAACCUGUUUAAGCUUAUUAGCUAGUGGUGGUGACAAUCUCUCCAGGGAAAGAACUAGGCUGAUGUCACUGUUAACUGUUCAUUUGUUAUUGUUCCGUUAUGUUUAUAUUAUAUUGUUCUUAUGUUAUUUUUAUUAUUUAUAUAAUUAUUUUUUAAAUAAAAUAUUUCUCACAA